rnacentral:rRNA from 1 species
AUUGAACGCUGGCGGCAGGCCUAACACAUGCAAGUCGAACGAGCGGCGGACGGGUGAGUAAUGUCUGGGAAACUGCCCGAUGGAGGGGGAUAACUACUGGAAACGGUAGCUAAUACCGCAUACCAUCGGAUGUGCCCAGAUGGGCUUAGCUAGUAGGUGGGGUAACGGCUCACCUAGGCGACGAUCCCUAGCUUGUCUGAGAGGAUGACCAGCCACACUGGAACUGAGACACGGUCCAGACUCCUACGGGAGGCAGCAGUGGGGAAUAUUGCACAAUGGGCGCAAGCCUGAUGCAGCCAUGCCGCGUGUAUGAAGAAGGCCUUCGGGUUGUAAAGUACUUUCAGCGAGGAGGCGUUACUCGCAGAAGAAGCACCGGCUAACUCCGUGCCAGCAGCCGCGGUAAUAC